AGACUAAAUCACUCCUUCAAGCUGCCUCUGAAAGCUUCCAAUUGCAGCAGAUAUAAACCUUGUGGAAGGGACUUGGGCCUGCAGCCAUACAGAAAACUAAUCUUCAGCAAGCAGGGCCGACCAGGUUUCAGCACGAGCAUGUGAGGGCUGCUGUGCCCAACUCCGUGUGACGUUGGCAGAGGAGCAGCACCACGAAUCCAGCAGCGCUCGCUGUGGUGGGGAAAUGCCAAGGAAGCGCUUUCACGGUGCCAGGCUGAUCUUAACGCUGAUGUUCGCCAUCCAGGAGGAAGCAAGCUGCACAGCUAAAAGGAGACACGUCACCAAGGAAGAGUUGAAUGCUUCCUGA